GUGUUAAGAUAGCAGCAUGAAAACAUCCUGUGCAUGGUCUCCCGAUAAAACAAUCCGUUUUUGGCGUCUUUUUGGAAGCCCGGGGAGGAUCCUUCCCGUGGCCCUGGGGACCAAGAACGAAAGGGCGUGCUGUGUUGCCUGGGUUGGUCCUGCUGCUUCCGCCAAGACCAAGUCACCCCCUUCCCUUGGCUCCAGGCUGGUGGACACCACCGUGGGCUCUGUCUCCUUAGCCCUCCCUCUGGGCUCGGCGCCUUCUCUCACCCUUUGCACGUGGGGUGAGGUCCACGUUCUUUCUGCGGGCGAUGGAUCUGGCAGGGCCACGUGACGGAGAGGAUGACGCCGACCCAGGUGAGUUGCGCUGUGCUGUGACAGAGAGAUGGGACCUGGAUUUGGACAGCACAAGACGCAGCUCCAGGGCCUCCCUGGGUCUCUUCCACGGCCUGCUUCCCCAGAGCGCCCCUCCCCUGCCUCCCUGGCCCCGCCCCUCCGUCUGCCUGGGCCCGGGUGCUCCUCAGGGGCUCACUCACGAGCCCCACCUGCAGCGGCUCUGGCCUUCUGAAUGGAGUUAGUGAGGCACAGUUCCCACAGCGAUGGGCCCCUGACAGCAGAGGGGUCGUGGGCGAGCCGGUGCGUGCGCGCGUGCGUGUGCGGGACUUCCGGCGAGAGGUAAGCCAGAGGUAAGGCGUGGGGCGCUCAGCAGGGGAUUUGCUGUGAGUAAAAGUCCCCGUCUCGCCCAGGCACAACCAGCCGCUCCCCACACCUGCUGCUUUAAGGUGGGGCCUGCGUCUCCCGCCCUGCACGCAUGCGCAGGGCUCGCAGGGGCACCUGCUGGGCGCCUGGAUACUGUGGUUCUGUGCGGAGGACGUGAUGGCAACGGUGAGAACUGCAGGGUCACCCUGGAUGAGGUGAAAGGACUCAACAUGCUAUUUCACAACCCAGCAAGUCUCCCCAAAGGGAUGGGAGCCACUUACACAUCUUCUGUCCAGCUACAGUGACAUAUGAGAGGUGUCCUGAAGCUGCAGCAUAGCUGAGCAGAAGCAAGGGGACUCCUGAAUCUAUAAAAUGGCGUUACCCCGAGAAUGGUUGCUUUUGAUUCACGCAGAAUCGAAGCGUGCGGGAACAACGACGCUCAUGACCGUCACUGUGAAUCUGCACCAGGAGCCGCAUCCGCCCUGCGGUUUCACUCUUCUGCUUGGUUGCAAGCUUGUCUUACUCGGCAUCAGGCGGUGGAGCCCAGGGCUGAGUUCCCAUACAGACACAAUAUGCCCACAGGUGUUGGGGGUGCAGCUGCUGUCGCCUGCCACGCCCCCCACAUGGCACCCGCAGGCUCCAUGGCCCCCUCACCGCUGUGGCUGAGCCGGGUCUGAGGCCACCACAUGCCCAGGUUCAGGACGGCCACGUGCGUCCUGUCUUAGGGCUCUUGGGGACUGCCCACCUGGCCCACCUGCUCUGUCUGCCUUUGUCUCGGCAGUGCCUUCCUCGAAGCAAUUUUCUCAAUGCCUGAAGACCCUGGGUUUGCUUCCAGUGCACAGAGCUGGUGUCUUCAUGGAGGGUUUUAUGCUCGUGAGCACGUGAUGCUCUCUGCUAAUGGCCUGGGAAAGCAGUAGAAGAUGGCCCAAGUGCCUAGGCCCCUGCACCUGUGUGGGAGACCCGGAAAAAGCUCCUGGCUUCAGAUCAGCACAGCUCCAGCCGUUGCGACAAUCUGGGGAAUGAAUCAGCAGGUGGAAGACGGCUCUCCCUGCCUCUGUCUCUCUGUAACUCUGCCUUUCAAAUAAAUAAAUAAAUCUUUAAAAAUACCCAGAUUUAUUUAAAAAGAAAAAAAAGCUUGUGGAAGUGUGGAUGGAGGAGAUAUGUUCCCUGAGUUUGAGCACUUCAAAAUGCAUGUCCAUUUCGUGAUGUGCCUUUUCCACAGGCCAUGUGCAGACCCAGCGUGCGAAACUCAGGGCCGGCAACACACAGACAAGGGGACAGUUCCCAUCCCCGUGGAUGUGACGGGGAUGUGAGAUUUCCUCACUUUACCCAGAAUGGCAUGCCACUAAAAAUCUGUGCCUUAGAAGAAAAAAAGUGUGCCUUGCUCAUUUCUGGAGUUUUCUGUUGAAUAUUCUCCACCUGGGGCUUACUCCAGGCCACGGAAACCAGGAAACAAAGCUGUGGUUAAGGGGCAGAGCCUGGGACAGCACCUACUUCAAGGACGUGAGCUGGGCUUGAACUUCAUACCUUUCCCUCUGCUUCCAUGUAUGUCCUAACAAAAGUAAUUAAAAAAACCCUAUUAUUUAUUUAUUUGAAAGGCAGGGUGUCAGAGAGAAAGAGAUACAAAAAGAGGAGAGGGGCCGACGCUGUGGCACAGUAGGUUAAUCCUUCGCCUGCAGUACCAGCAUCCCAUAUGGGCGCCGGUUCUAGUCCCGGCUGCUCCUCUUCCAAUCCAGCUCUCUGCUAUGGCCUAGGAAAGCAGUGGAAGAUGGCCCAACUCCUUGGGACCCUGCUCCCACAUGGGAGACUGGAAGGGGCAUCUUGCUUCUGGCUUUGGAUCGGCGCAGCUCUGGCGGUUGCGGCCAUUUGGGGAGUGAACCAACAGACGGAAGACCUCUCUCUCUGUCUCUCUCUCUCACUGUCUGUA